AGGUCAAGUAAAUAAUAUAAAAAUAGUGUACGUUGCAUAGACCAAUUCUCUAUUAAUAUAGUCGAUAUUUUUUUGUUGUUGUUAUCGUUAUUGCUGUACAAUAUACAUAGUAUCCAGAUAAAAGAGAUCGUAUGAAGGAACAAUGAAAUAAAUGAGAAACAAUAGGCGUUUGCUUGCGCAUUCAACGAGGGUGAAGGUUCGAUAGGAAAACAAACGGAAAAUCCCCUUAAAAGCAUCCUGCAAACACUCGAUUGGGUACGAAAAGUAAAGGAUCGCCUUGACACAUAGCCUUCGCCCAAGCUAAGGCCUCUGGACUUGCUGCUCUUAUAACGUCCACUCUUCCAAGUGCAAAUCGACGAAUACCAGCACUUUCAUACGUAGCCACUAAUUUUCCAUGCAGUCUAUAAGAUAUUCCAUUCGAGUUUCUCCGGUGCUGGAAGAUGAGACGGUACUAAAUUUUCUUCGAUCGGUGCCAUGGAUUCAAUCUUUUUUGUUAUAUCCUCGAUGGCAUUUAAAAUUGCUGGUGCCUCGCCCGCUGAAUGUUCGUAACAGACACCCCAUAGACCGUCCUAUGAGAUAAAAGACAAGAGAAUUUUCAAUAUUAAACAAAAUCAACAAAGGUGAAUCAUUCUGUAUUUCUUUUCGCAUAUUAAUCCAUAUAAUGAAUAAUACAAAUACAAUAAAGAUUAUUACUUUGCCGAGUAUCAAUUGGACAGUUUGAUCGAACCAACGAUUAGCAGCCAAAUGUCGAGAUCCACCACCAUGAAGAAUGUGAUGAAGUACAUUUGCUAAAUCACGUUCACCUAUCCAUCUAUCAUUCGUUCUAUACGGAUUAUUGAAUGUUGCUGGUAAGACGUCAUCAUCGAUGCAAACGAUACAUAAACAUCUUUCUAAUAAUUCUAUGUUGUGACGAUUACGUUCAUCUGUAAAAAUGUAAUUAUCGAUUUACAUGAGAUAACCAUCCCUUGGUUCUAUCGCACGUGACAAAGGGAGAGCUUCCUUUUACUCCAUUUAUCUAUCCUAACUCUCUCUCUCUCUCUGUGUCGACCGUCUUUAUAUCAUUAUCUCUCAUCACUUACUCAAUUUAUAAGGAUGCCUUGUAAAUUUUACUCUGGAUAUAAACUCGAGUAAAGGGUUGUUAUGAGAAUAUUGCGAAUAUUGAUAUAUAAACGAUCAAAUGAUAACUAUAAUUAUCUAACCGUCAAAUAUAUAUAUAUAUAAAUUAAUUAGAUACAGAUAAUUGAUGAUAGUUAAUUAAUUAGAAAUUACUUUACUACUGUAAUAACGUUUAUGGAGUUUAUUAUUUAAACGAUUGAAAAAUUGUGAUAAUUCUU